GAUGAACGCUGGCGGCGUGCUUAACACAUGCAAGUCGAACGGUGAAGGCGGAGCUUGCUCUGCUGGAUCAGUGGCGAACGGGUGAGUAACACGUGAGCAAUCUGCUCCUGACUCUGGGAUAAGCGCUGGAAACGGCGUCUAAUACUGGAUACGAGCUGCGAAGGCAUCUUCAGCAGCUGGAAAGAAUUUCGGUCAGGGAUGAGCUCGCGGCCUAUCAGCUUGUUGGUGAGGUAAUGGCUCACCAAGGCGUCGACGGGUAGCCGGCCUGAGAGGGUGACCGGCCACACUGGGACUGAGACACGGCCCAGAGUCCUACGGGAGGCAGCAGUGGGGAAUAUUGCACAAUGGGCGAGAGCCUGAUGCAGCAACGCCGCGUGAGGGACGACGGCCUUCGGGUUGUAAACCUCUUUUAGCAGGGAAGAAGCGAAAGUGACGGUACCUGCAGAAAAAGCGCCGGCUAACUACGUG
rnacentral:rRNA from 1 species